GAUGAAUCGAUGGCCUUGGUGAUGAUGAUGCAACAUGAAAAGGUAUGCCGGCUGCUAUCUAAAGGCGUGGUUUAUUCUGCCAUUUCACAGAGCCAUUUCUCCUUCUGACCUACAGAAGCCAUUUCCUACGCUGUCUGCCUCCUGUAAUUGAAGACUCCUAACUUUGCCCUGGUGACAAGGAGAGAGAAAAAAAGGAUUUAAACCAUAAAAAAGUUCCCAAUGGCAUGUCGAUGAGAUGUUUAUAAACUACUCGUGCUCGCUGAAGUGAACCAAGAAGCCUGUCCGAGUGGCUAACCUUUAGCAUGGGAAGGCGGCACUACACGUCUUUCAAAGUUCAGGCAGAGGAAGGGCUUCCGACCCGUCGGAUGAUUUGAAGACUCAAAUACCACUUUCAUUUAUUAUUUAUCCCCGGCAGGCCGAUGGGGGAGGGAUGGGAGCAUCAUACCUGAGUUGGUAAUGUAAAGAAAUGGCC